CAGUAAUCCAGAUCAGAAGACACAAUGGAUCAGAGAAUGCCUGUGUGGGAAUCUCAUAGCCCCGAGGAGGACAGAGAGCAUGUCUGGGUGUAAAAAGGUGAUAACAGCCAGAGGGUAUUCAAUUAUUUCAAUACUUCUCUUUAUCAGCUUGUCAGAAAUGUUAAACUGGUGACAAUUUUUUUAUUUAUUUUCUUUUUCACUGUUGAAUUCAUUUUUAUGUAAAGAAAAUUACUAAAAAAAAUGUUUCUGCCCUCCAAAAACAUACAAACAAAACUACAAAACAAAAUUGGAAGACAAUUGUUUAUACUCAAUGUUCAUGCCUGUUUUUCUUAGUUUGCAAAAUACUUAAAGCUGAAAUAAACAAACGUGAUUUAUUCACUUAACAGUGAGCUACGGUUGUAUUAAGAACAAAAUGAUAAAAAAAAGUAAAAAAAAAAUACAGAACAAUCUCUGACAAUAAUAUUUACCAUUAUUUCUGUUUAAAUCUCAAUUUAUAAAUUUCUCAUUUACAGAAACUCACUGUUUAGUGAAUAUGUCCCUAUGUUCGCCUCUGGAUAACAUACUGUUGUGUGUCCUUGGCAGACUCCCGGCUAGCACAAUUUGCUUUUGGAAUAGGAUGCAACUACUGAGCAAACCUUAAUCAUUUCGAUUCAUUUAUAAUUCCUGUCUGAUCCUUACCAUUAAAACAAACGACAUUUUAUAAUCUCUAGCAUAAUCAGAUAUUUCCAAUUUAAAAUCAAGAACAGGAAAAAGAUGUCAAACAAAUCUUUUUCUAUUAACCUUUUCUUAGUAUGUAUGGGUCAAUAUUUACCACCACAAUUCUUACACCAACAAGAACCUUUUAAACCCUGUAUUUUCUUCCUCAUCAUGUCCGACAACUAUAAAGCAAACUUCAAAGAGUGUAUUCUUCCAUUUCAUGUAUUACUUCUUAACAAAGAUAACACCUGGGUUGUUUUAAAGUGUGGAAUGUGUCAACUAUCUACCAAUUUGUUCCAAGUGUAAACAGAUCGGAUUUCAAUCAAACUGGUAAAAUCAAUUUUUAGUAUACAAUAACAACUGACACCAUUUUAACUCAAUUCAAUAACAAUAUAAAAAAAUAAAAUUUUGAAUUAUAAUUAAAUAAUGGCUUUGCUGUGUUGAAUUGCAUAAUUAAAUUGUUUGUAAUUUCUCCAUACAGAGUGAAUCAAAAGUCAGGAAAAAUUCAGGCAUUAACCAAAUAUCAGAGAGAUGCAAAAGGUGCUAAAUGUUAAUGCAUUCAAAAUGGCGGUUUUCAAGAUGGUGGAGGAGUAGAGUAAAUGGGUAAUACUAAUGAUAAUAGGUAUUAAUAUUUAGGCCAUUGUUCUAACUGGUCAUUUAUUCUUUCUGAUACCCCCUAUACUGGGUAAAAGAAGGAAACAGUUUUAUAAGUACUGUG